AUUGAACGCUGGCGGCAUGCCUUACACAUGCAAGUCGAACGGCAGCACGGGUGCUUGCACCUGGUGGCGAGUGGCGAACGGGUGAGUAAUACAUUGGAACAUGUCCUGUAGUGGGGGAUAGCCCGGCGAAAGCCGGAUUAAUACCGCAUACGAUCUACGGAUGAAAGCGGGGGACCUUCGGGCCUCGCGCUAUAGGGUUGGCCGAUAGCUGAUUAGCUAGUUGGUGGGGUAAAGGCCUACCAAGGCGACGAUCAGUAGCUGGUCUGAGAGGACGACCAGCCACACUGGGACUGAGACACGGCCCAGACUCCUACGGGAGGCAGCAGUGGGGAAUUUUGGACAAUGGGCGAAAGCCUGAUCCAGCAAUGCCGCGUGUGUGAAGAAGGCCUUCGGGUUGUAAAGCACUUUUGUCCGGAAAGAAAUCCUUGGCUCUAAUACAGUCGGGGGAUGACGGUACCGGAAGAAUAAGCACCGGCUAACUACGUG
rnacentral:rRNA from 1 species